GCCUGUGGGAGGGGGUCUGGUUAGAUGAUCUGUCCAGGUCCCUCCUGACCCUAGCUACGAUGAAACUAUGACCUCUCUUCCUUCCACUCCCACCCACAAUCUCCAUGAAAAUGUCUGCCAGCUGAGCUGCUUCAUGUGACAGAAAUGGCAGCCAGCAACUGUGUUGGAGUGAGCAACAGUUGGAGUCUACAGACCAAACCCUUUUUGAUGUGGCAGGCACUCCAGAAAUAUGGCAGCAAGUUACCUCUGACUUUUCAGGCUCUUCCUGUAUUCUGAAGAGCUGUUCUGCAUUCUUAACACCUCUGUCAAAACAUUCAAUGCAACAAUUUUCAGGCUUGGUUUAGAUGAAAUGUGGGUUAAUUUCUCUAAAGCAGGGUUUCAAGGCUGUAAGUGACUUUCCAUCAGUCCAUACCAAUGCUCUGCAGUGUGCAUUGGGAAAGGUAAUAAACUCAUUCUAAUGCCAGUCCUCAUAAGGAAGAUAUCUGCUGGUUUAUAUUGGGAGAAUGUUCUUUGUUAGAGGGGAACACACUAAAAACCUGAACAUUGUCUUGUGUACAUCUUGACAGGAUUUAUACACUCCUACGAUAGGGUAAGUCUUUUUCAAUUAGCCUUUAAAACCAGCUGUCCUAAUAUAGCCUGGAAUAAGCUGACAGUCUCCUUAUUUCAUAAUACUUUAAAAAGUGAAAUUAAUAGAGCGUAUAGGUUGGCAGAACUUCAGUACAAAUUGGUACAGUAACAAAUCUUGGAUCAUUUGAUUUUUUUAUUGUGUGUGCAGUCAGAUGAGUAGAAAGAAGAACCUUGAGUACUCUGGCAACAAACCCAUAAAACCCAAUUAUUUAUUUUAAGUUGCAUUGAGGGUCUUAUCAAUGUCUGUCUUGUUGGUGUAUUUGUGUGUGAGCAACAGUUGAACAGAAAAUCAUUUAAGUACAGUCUGUGUUUGUUGAUAUUCAGCAGCCAGCAAAAUUUUUUAUUCUUAGAUGCGAUUAUACAUGGCAAAAGCUGGGGGAAGGGAAAAUUGGCAACUCCUGCAAAAAUUUUCCACUUUUCAUACCACAAAAACAAGACUAGACCAAUCUUCAGUAGAAAUCUUAAUUACCCAAAAUCAUUUUUGCAAAAGGAAUUGUCACUAGAAAAAAAACCAGUGUAAAGUUAGAACUUGGCUUCUUUGUGGAAAUCCAGGUUCAAUAGGAAAAGCAGCAUUUGAAAAGGGAAAAAAUAAUAAUGGGUUUAGAAGUAACGUCUGAUUAAAAGAAUGGACUUUGAAGAUGCAGCAUGUAAAACCAAUUGUAUUUAAUUCAAGAAAUACUCUUGUCUGCUGCUGACCCCAAAUAAUAAGUGGAGGGGUAGAGAAGAGAGGUAUGUUUUGCAAGUCUAAAUCUAUGAAGUCAAAAUUAUUGCAGAUCUUUUUAUGAUAUAAGUGGAGAUGGUAAUGGUGAUAAUCAAAGCCAACAAAUCUUAAUAAGUUAGUAAAAGUUUAUGCACCUAGGAAAGUAUCAUCUGACAGCUUUAUUUGGAAGUAUAUCUCUAAAAGCUGUAGAAUUUUCCUGGGAUGAAGAGAUGAAGCAAGUAUCCAGUUUUCUGGUUAAGGAGAAAAACCAAAUACAAAUGCAUAUAUAUACAUACACACACAAAACAAUGCACCAUUUUGUCCAAACUGUCUAUGCUUUUCAAUAGUAAUCCUUUUUAAAACUAUUUGCAAGUAGCUGGGCUUGAGUGAUACAUAUAAAUGGUUCAAUGUGUUUUUUUGAAUGGGAAUGAUUUUAAAUUGAUCAAAAUAAAAUUUUAAAAAGUGCCCAGAUUUCUCCAGGUGGCCUAGAAAAAAUGUCCUUGUGAAGGAAGUAGUAAAUUCUAUAUCAGUACUUUAUUUUCAAUUUUGGCUCCUCUGUGCUUCAUUUUCAGAUAAAGUUUCAGUGACCUAGAUUUUUCUCAGAGAGCUCCUUCAAGAAGCACCAUGUUGCAACUAUUGCACCUACAAAAUCCUUUUAAAGGCUGUCCCUGGUGCCAGGACAGGAAUAAAGUUUCUAGUGUUCUUCUGUAUAAGUGGUUUCUUUAACUUUGGCUGUAACCUGUGUUAAAAUGGGGGGCAGGGAGGGAGAGACUAUGCUUAGACAUACUAGACAGAACUUGUUUAUAGGUAUUAUAUUUUAUUGGCAUAACCAAUUAGCUCCACUUCUGAAUGAAGGCAAUUCCAAGGCUAUAAGAUCAUUCUGUCUGUACAUGUUUAUGUACUCAAGGAAACUUGCUUACCACUAGCCUUAUUAAAAUAAGAUCAAACUGUU